rnacentral:rRNA from 1 species
UACAGGGGGGGCAAGCGUUGUUCGGAAUUACUGGGCGUAAAGGGCUCGUAGGUGGCCAACUAAGUCAGACGUGAAAUCCCUCGGCUUAACCGGGGAACUGCGUCUGAUACUGGUUGGCUUGAGUUUGGGAGAGGGAUGCGGAAUUCCAGGUGUAGCGGUGAAAUGCGUAGAUAUCUGGAGGAACACCGGUGGCGAAGGCGGCAUCCUGGACCAACACUGACGCUGAGGAGCGAAAGCCAGGGGAGCAAACGGG